rnacentral:rRNA from 1 species
UGUGAUGGCAUAACUUAUGCCUGCAUACGGCUCAUUAAAACAAAAAUAACUUAUCCUCGUAUAUAUACGGAUAACAUUGCUAAUUGUGAUGCUAAUACGUGAUAAAACAUACUAAGUAUAAUCCUUAUACCUAUUCUUUAAGGAAUAUUAUAAGGCAUUUAGACUAUUCUAAAGAGGAAAGGUUUUUGAUCUAUCAGCUACAGACGGUUAUGUAUUGGAUAACCGUGGCAUUAACGGAUAACGGGGAAUGAGGGUUUGAUUCCGGAGAGAGCGCAUGAGAGUUUGCGCUUACAGCUAAGGUUGGCAGCAGGAGCGAAAACUUUUCUAAUGAGCAGAGCUUGAAAAGGUGACAAACUGUAUUAACAUCAGCUUAUAGUUGGUGAUUAGAAUGAAAAUUUUUUAAGGUAAAUUUUAAGUAGCAAGUUCAGGGCAAGUCUGGUGCCAGCAGCCGCGGUAAUACCAGCUGAGCUAAGGAUGGGUAAUGCUGUUGCAGUAAAAACAUUCGUAGUCACUUUAUUUGAACUAUCUUAGUUUAACUAUUGGUUUUGUUCAAUAAAAUUAUUUUCGCGAUUAAAUUAAAUUGAUUAAAUUGAAUGGUGUAUGAUAAAGCGCGAUAAAUCUGAUGAUACCUUAUUGCAAUUUUUAAUUGAUUUGUUUUAAGGAAUAAAUAGUAAAAAUAAGAGAGGGCAGUGGUACUUACCAGCUAGAGGUGAAAUUCUUAGAUUUGGUAAUGACUCACAACUGCAAAAGCAUCUGUCCAGCUUAUUUUUGGUGAUCAAGAAUUAAAGUGUGGGGAUCGAAGAGGAUUAGAUACCCUCGUAGUCCACACCCUAAGCUAUGUCAACUAGUGAUUGGUAGAAAAAAUUUUUCCGUCGGAACCUUAGCAGAUAUGAAAGUUUUUGGACUCUGGGGGAAGUAUGGUCGCAAGGCUGAAACUUAAAGGAAUUGACGGAACGGCACCACAAGGGGUGGAGCGUGCGGCUUAAUUUGACUCAACGCGGGAAACCUUACUAGGGUAAGACAUUAAUAUGAUUGACAAAUUACUUGGUUUUUCUUGAUUUAAUGGGUGGUGGUGCAUGGCCGAUCUUAGUUGGUGGGGUGACUUGUCUGGUUAAUUCCGAUAACGAACGAGAUCCGAGCAGUUUUGUUGCUAAUUUCUACUUUAAGUAGUUGAUAGUUCCUAAAUGGACCAUCAGAAUAAUCUGAAGGAAGUGACGGGCUAAAUCAGGUCUGUGAUGCCCUUCGAUACUCUGGGCGGCACGCGCGCUACAUUGGAUAAAAAAAAGUGAUAUAACACUGAUAAGUGAUAUGAAUCAUAUAAUUUGUGUCGUAAAUGGGAUAGUUUAUUGCAACUGACAAACUUGAACUAGGAAUCCCUUGUAGAUAUAUUGCAUUAUAAUAUAUCGAAUACGUCCCUGCCGUUUGUACACACCGCCCGUCGUUUCUUCCGACUGGUACUCAUUGUGAAUUGCGAGGAUGUUUCAAAAUCGCUGUUAAUGCUGGGUACUGGAGGAAGAAAAAGUCGUAACAAGGUUAUC